UGACGGGUGCUAAAUAAGUCAGUGGAAGAAAACGGGGCCAUAAUUUGGAAUGGAGGAAGCAGGACGGAAGAUGAAGUCAAGUACUAGUAGGGAUUAAAAAAGUUACGCUGGCAUGAGAGGAACACGAACCUAACAUUGGAAUCGCUUAAUAACUAAAGAAAAGCUUGGAAUAUCAUGCCAUUUUACUGUACUUAUCUCCAGCUGAAAUAUAAUAAUCAUAAGUUAAGUACUAGUAUUGUCAAAAAGAUAUAACAAUAAUAAGUUUGGUGCCUUGUAUGCGUGCGGGUAAUGAUACUCGUGGAAAAAACUGUGCCUGCCGUGCCGGCACGAGCUACGGCCAAACGUCAAACCACGAAGCAGACGGCCAAGUUUGGAUGUAAACGAUAGCGCCAAGCUGUUCAAAGAGUAGCCUU
rnacentral:lncRNA from 1 species